ensembl:lncRNA
CGGGGUCACCCUGACGUCUCCGCGGAUCCGCAGCUUCGGUCUCCAAAUUCAAAUGCCGUGAUCACAGUCCACGUCUCUGCAUAUAUACCACAGUAUCACGUACAGGAUGAGCAAAAUGGCAAAAAUAAACAGAGCUACAAGGAUAGCCUUAGUCACUGGUGAGAUGAGAGACUGCAUUUCAGCAGCCGGCGCACGAGCACAGCUCACUUCGCAACAGUCCGCCGAGGCGCAUGGAUGCUCGACCGCCCGCUCGCUCCUCACCAUCCGAACAGACCUUCGGCUUCUGGAGCUGGAUUCUCCCGCAAUCUCCAGCGGAUUAUUCACACGCGUUCCGUCGUUCGUGGUGGAGACGCAUCAUGAGCGGUCCUCUGGAGAAAGCCGGCGGCUGCGAACCGUGCUCGGAUUGGAGAGCAGACGCAGCGGCUCUGGCUCUGGUGUGGAACAGGUUGAUUCGCCUUUUUCAACUUCAUCAGAUGGAACUGUCCAUUGAAGCCCCGUGUGAAGGGGGGAGACCACAGAGGUUGACCCUCAGUGAUAGAAAUGAACAAACAAAAGAGCAAAGAACGUUAUGAAGUGUAAAAACUCACAUUUGUUUCAUUUAUGACAUAAAUACGAUUAUUACUUUAUCUGAGAUAUUAGUACUACUGUGGCCACUGAUAUAGCUAUACUUUCAAGGGUUAAUAAUUGUAUCUAUUUUUUUUUUUUUUUUUUUUUGCAGAAUCCAGUUAGCCAACAUUUUUUCUUUAACAAAUACUGACUUUCUUAGAUAUUUUUAUAAGUAAAACUAUAAAGUGUCGAAUAUUGGCACUUUCCUUAACGUUCCAUCCGAUUAUUGUAAAGCGCUCAAGUUGCGUACUGUUGCUAUGGUUACCUCCUCAGGGAUAGCAAUUCCAGCUUGUUUGACGCCAUGUAAAAUUAUGCGUCCUGACAAACUCGCACUGACUGUUUGAGAUACAUUUGUGAUAAAUAACACUAUACAGUGUCAAAUAGUGCCACAUUUUUGUUAAUGUGUUAGCCGAUAUAUCGCUCAAGUCACAUACUGUUGCUAUGGUUACCUCUUCAGCCAUAGCAAUAGCUUGUUUGAUGGCAUGUAAAAUUAUGUGUCCUGAAAAACUUGUACUGACUUUUUGUGAUAAAUAACACUAUACAGUGUCAAAUAACGGCACUGUUUUGUUAACAUUUUAGCCGAUAAAUCGCUCAAGUCACAUACUGUUGCUAUGGUUACCUCUUCAGCGAUGACAAUUCCCAUUUGCGAGAGCCUGUUUGAUGCCAGGUAAAAUUAUGCGCUCUGACUAACUUGUACUGACUUUUUUAGAUAAAUGUGUGAUAAAUAACACUAUACAGUGUCAAAUAAUGGUACUGUUUUGUUAACGUUUUAGCCGAUAAAUCGCUCAACUCGCGUACUGUUUAAUCCCAGGUAAAAUUAUCCGCCCUGACUGACUUGUACUGACUUUCUGAGAUACGUUUAUGAUAGAGUAAACUAUAAAGUGUCAAAUAUUAACACUGUUUUGUCAGAGUUACACCCGAUGAUGACACUUUCAUAAAGCACUCAAGCCUGGUACUGUUGCUAUGGUUACCUCCUGAAGAGAUGCAAAUUCUGUUUGCUAGCCUAUAAAUAAUGCCAGGUGAAAACACACACCCCUCGACUUUUUUUAGAUAGUUUAUGAUAAGUAAGACUAUAAAGUGUCAAAUAUUGUCACUGUUGAUGAUGCUAUAGUAAAGCACUCAAGUCAUAUACUGUUGCUAUGGUUACCUCUGCUCACGCACAUGCAUUUACGGCCAGUUGAAAUUCUAAUGAUAAAAUAAUGAUUACUGAAGUUUGUCUUUCGAGAAAUCAUACUUCUUUGUACAUCAAAAUUUCACGUUUAGUCUAUUUAAUGUGUUACUUUAGUUUCUUUGUAGUUAGUUGUGUAAUGUACUAAAAGUAAAGUUUUUUCUUGCUGCAGUGUACGCUUUUUGUGCUUUUACUUAAAAAAAAGAAAAGAACUAGAACUGUUUGUUUACUAACGUUGGCAGCUCAAGCCUCAUCCGCACCGCGCCCUUCUGAUAAGUUACCCGUGCAAACAAAGAAUUAGCACAGUUUGCGUUCUGAGCGACGAAACCUGCCUGAAGACAGAUAUGACAUUCAGCUCCUGAGCUCGAGCUCAGUGCGUGCUGCUGAAGUUCAGUAGUGAAAGGUUUCCUGAACGUUACAGAGGGAACUUCCCCAGCGGUCCGAAACGGAUGAAUGGAGCUGCUCUGCUCUCAAAGCCCGAGCACUUCUGGCAUAGGUGGGUUUCUAGCAAACUGAAAACCAAUGCUGAAGCCCCAAACCGCUGUCUAAAAAGAAGCCAGCUUGCUAGGUUUUAAACCAACUCCGUUCAUUGCGUUCCGUCGCUCUGGGGAAGUUCAACGUUUAGGAAACCUCUCGAGACGCAUUCGGGGGACUGGGUGGGUGUUUACUGCAAAAUCGUUCUAGGAGGUCAAGAAACCUUGCUAUGAAUUUAAACGCGAUUUCUAAAGGAAAACAAGAAUGGAUCAAUAACAGUAACGUCAUGCACUGAGAUAAAUAGCGUGGAAACCCAUGUGCACGGUGCGCGCUUUUGUUCAACCCAGAAGCGUCGGGCGGGGGAGGGACGCCUCGUGCAUCCUCCGUGUGCACGAGACUUCAGUGAGAAACAAGCGAGACAGACCUGCAAUUGGAUCCUACACAAGUCAAUCCCACAUGUGGGUGGGCGGUGGAUUCAGAGCUGCACACCCAGUAAAGUUUGUGCAACAAAAGGUUGCGGGAAAGUUGCGCACGAACACGAUUCACACUUACACCUGAACUCUACAUGCGCUAAAAGCGAUCAAGCAAGCUGCCUUUAACACACGAUUGAGCUCAGUUUCAUUCAAGCCACAAUGAUGUCAUACUUGUGGAUUUUCGUCCUUGGAAGUUUAAUCGUGACUGGAGUGAAGAUGCAAGACGAUGGAGUGGAAGGCGCAGACAAUGCCGAUUCUCCGGCAGAUGAGCUCGCUCCAGAGGACUCAACCGUUCCUGCUGAAGCUGCAGACGCUGAAGAACCAGCUAAAGAACCAUCACCUGAAGAAACAUCACCUGAAGAAAUAUCACCGGAAGAAACAUCACCGGAAGAAACAUCACCUGAAGAAAUAUCACCGGAAGAACCAGCACCUGAAGAACCAGCACCCGAAGAACCAGCACCUGAAGAACCAGCACCUGGAGAAAUAUCACCUGAAGAAACACCUGAAGACCCAGCGGAGGAUGCUGUGGAUGAGGCAGCAGCUACUGCAGAGCCUGAAGACACCAACCCUGAGUCAGACGCUGCGAUAGAAGAGGCUGAAGAAACACCAGCAGCUGAAGAGAAACCUGCUGAAGCAGAAGCAGAAGAAGCAGCGGCUCCUGAAGCAGAUGACGCCGAUGCAACUAAAACAGAAGCCGAUCCACCUGCUGAAGAUCCUGAACAAGAAAUCAAGCCCGAAGAAGCUCCAGAUGAUGCAGAAACAGAGGAAGCACAAGAGGAAGCAGAAGGAGGGGAAGCAGAAGCAGGUGCAGAGACUGAAGCAGACUUUACUGCUGUACCAGAGGAACCUGUGGACCCUGAAGGGGCUGUGGAAGAUAUGUCUGCAGAAUUCGAUCUUUCUGAUGCGUUCGAAGAGAAAGCACAACCACAGGAUCCAGUAAAGACAAAAAUGGGAGAUGCAGACCAGCACAGCGCAGGUCAAGGCAGAGCUCGCAGUGCUGGAGCAGUUUCUGAGCCGAACGACAGUGGAUCUGGUACGGUUGUUGGUGUUGUUUGUGGGAUUGCAGUAGCAGCUGUUGGUGCCAUAAUCGGAUACUUCACCUACCAGAAGAAGAAACUGUGCUUCAAGGUCCAGAGAGGUGAUCCAGAGAGUGCCAAAGAAGAGAACGGCACACAGAACCCUGAGGUUUUAAGCACCCUCCUGAAGUCAUCUGAACACGCCCCUGCAGCCGGCAGUGAACUUGCGUGAAGCUACUGUGAACUGCUUUACAUGGGAGCAGGACGUUGUAACUACCCACAUCUUGAGAACCGGAUGAACUUCACAAACACAUUCACAGUACAGAAAGUCAGCACAAAUAUCAUUUCUACACUCACUCUGAGUUCCUGACGCACAUUAAGUCCUUUUUCAUAAUAUCUCAUCUUCCUACUGCUUCGACUACAGUUCUAAACUAGCACAUAGGACUGUUAAUAAUACAUGUUUUGAAUGUAAUUUCACAUCGUUUGAGUGGAACGGGAUGUGUGCGUGUAUGCAUGUGUAAUUCGACAGCCUUUUGGUAGAGGCAUUUCAUUUCGUUACUUUAAAAAAUGUCGUUUGGUUUCAUUACUGUGUCAUUGAUCGCAGUUUUGUUUGAUGUCAAAUUGUUGCCUCUGAUUCAUAAAAGAGCAAAUCUCACAAUGUGGAAUGAUUCAAAUUGUAUUGUCUGACCAAACAGAAUUCAUAGGAAUUUUUCUUUCUAUUUUUUGUUUUGUUUUAAAAUUCUGUAAAUAAUUGUUGCGUUUGAAUAAAGAGUGGUUACAUUUAAAAGACGUUACACAUUUAAUUGCACAGUUUCAUAAUGCAACGAAAAAAAAAAAACAGAAUUGCAAAUAAAUUAAACAAGCUAAUCAUGCUAGAACCAUGCUAACAAGAUGGUAGCAAAAUGCUAAUCAUGCUAGAAACAUGCUAGCAUCAAUAUAUCUAUUCUAUCUAUCUAAAUUUUCCAACUUCAAUCUUUUACAACUGCUUUAAACUUUCAGGCUUGAUUUUCUCAAGCCAACCUAAAGUUUGUCUUCAUGGAUUUGUAGUUUUAGCUGUACAUAAUCAAACAAUAUAAUAUAUAUUGAAUAUGAAUGUACAUAAAUAUAUAAUAAUGCUAUUAAUAAUACUAAUAAUAAUAACAAUAAUUUACAUUGUGAUAUAAUACAAAUUAUAUUAUUCCAUGAUACAGC